rnacentral:snRNA from 1 species
ACCCUGAUUGGGUAGGUGGUUUUCCCAGGGUGAGGCCUGUCCAUUGAAAUCCAGAUACACUCACCCCUGUGAUUUCCCUAGAUUUGGAAAUUUGACUGCAUCAUUUGUGGUAAGUUGUGGACUGCAUUCUCACU